CGGUUUCUUAAGUCUGAUGUGAAAACCCCCGGCUCAAMCCGGGGAAGGGUCAUUGGAAAACUGGGRAGGACURKUCAGAAGAGGAGAGUGGAAUUCCAUGUGUAGCGGUGAAAUGCGUAGAUAUAUGGAGGAACACCAGUGGCGAAGGCGGCUCUCUGGUCUGUAACUGACGCUGAGGCUCGAAAGCGUGGGGAGCGAACAGGAUUAGAUACCCUGGUAGUCCACGCCGUAAACGAUGAGUGCUAGGUGUUAGGUCCUUUCCGGGACUUAGUGCCGACASUAACGCAUUAAGCACUCCGCCUGGGGAGUACGACCGCAAGGUUGAAACUCAAAGGAAUUGACGGGGGCCCGCACAAGCGGUGGAGCAUGUGGUUUAAUUCGAAGCAACGCGAAGAACCUUACCAGGUCUUGACAUCCCAGUGACUGCCCUUAGAGAUAGGGUUUCCUUCGGGGCACUGGUGACAGGUGGUGCAUGGUUGUCGUCAGCUCGUGUCGUGAGAUGUUGGGUUAAGUCCCGCAACGAGCGCAACCCUUAUUGUUAGUUGCCAUCAUUGAGUUGGGCACUCUAGCGAGACUGCCGGUAAUAAACCGGAGGAAGGUGGGGAUGACGUCAAAUCAUCAUGCCCCUUAUGACCUGGGCUACACACGUGCUACAAUGGCUGGUACAACGAGUCGCAAGCCGGUGACGGCAAGCUAAUCUCUGMMMGCCMGUCUCMGUUCGGAUUGUAGGCUGCAACUCGCCUACAUGAAGUCGGAAUCGCUAAUAAUCGCGGAUCAGCACGCCGCGGUGAAUACGUUCCCGGGCCUUGUACACACCGCCCGUCACACCACGAGAGUUUGUAACACCCGAAGUCGGUGAGGUAACCGUAAGGAGCCAGCCGCCUAAGGUGGGAUAGAUGAUUGGGGUGAAGUCGUAACAAGGUAACCGU
rnacentral:rRNA from 1 species